rnacentral:rRNA from 1 species
AGAGUUUGAUCAUGGCUCAGGAUGAACGCUGGCGGCGUGCCUAAUACAUGCAAGUCGAGCGAACAGAUAAGGAGCUUGCUCCUUUGACGUUAGCGGCGGACGGGUGAGUAACACGUGGGUAACCUACCUAUAAGACUGGGAUAACUUCGGGAAACCGGAGCUAAUACCGGAUAACAUUUGGAACCGCAUGGUUCUAAAGUGAAAGAUGGUUUUGCUAUCACUUAUAGAUGGACCCGCGCCGUAUUAGCUAGUUGGUAAGGUAACGGCUUACCAAGGCGACGAUACGUAGCCGACCUGAGAGGGUGAUCGGCCACACUGGAACUGAGACACGGUCCAGACUCCUACGGGAGGCAGCAGUAGGGAAUCUUCCGCAAUGGGCGAAAGCCUGACGGAGCAACGCCGCGUGAGUGAUGAAGGGUUUCGGCUCGUAAAACUCUGUUAUUAGGGAAGAACAAAUGUGUAAGUAACUGUGCACGUCUUGACGGUACCUAAUCAGAAAGCCACGGCUAACUACGUGCCAGCAGCCGCGGUAAUACGUAGGUGGCAAGCGUUAUCCGGAAUUAUUGGGCGUAAAGCGCGCGUAGGCGGUUUCUUAAGUCUGAUGUGAAAGCCCACGGCUCAACCGUGGAGGGUCAUUGGAAACUGGGAAACUUGAGUGCAGAAGAGGAAAGUGGAAUUCCAUGUGUAGCGGUGAAAUACGCAGAGAUAUGGAGGAACACCAGUGGCGAAGGCGACUUUCUGGUCUGUAACUGACGCUGAUGUGCGAAAGCGUGGGGAUCAAACAGGAUUAGAUACCCCGGUAGUCC